rnacentral:hammerhead_ribozyme from 1 species
AUCCGGUUGACAAGUCCCAAAUAGGACGAAACGCGCGUCACGCUGGAU